GCAAAGAUAAAGGAUUAGUAUGGGAAAAAAUACAAACAAUUAGAGUAAAAGAGAAAGAUGAAAAAAAAUUAGGUAAUUAGACAGAUAAAGUAACGAUAGCAACCAUGAUUACACAUCUAAUUACAACUUUAAUUAGCCACUUGAAUUACAAAACACAUAAGUAGUUUCCAAAUCAUUCAUACCAUAAACACAAUUUGUAGUAGACUUUUGGAAACAAAAUUAAGGGCAAAAACCCUAACAAUCAAUUACUUGCACCACAUGCCACAAAUGUAUAUGAACCCAUGCUGAAAAUACAAUCUCAGCCCCUAAGAGGCAAAAGAAAUUCAACACAAGAGUUUGACUAAAAGUGUUUUUUAUAUAAUAUAAGAAAAUAUUUAAAAAUAAAUAAAUAAGAUAAACUGUUACCUUUUUCUUUUUUCAUAUUGCACCCACCAUUACUAAUCACCGCCACCUUUUUUCCUUAUUCUUCCUCCAAUGCUGCUACUUCCUUUCCCUAUGAUUUUCUUUCCGUCCUCUCUUUCCUUCCUCUUUUUCUUCUAUCUUUCCUUUCCUCUAUUCUACUUCUUCUCCCAUAACCAGUCUCUUUCUUUCAUUUCCUCGGUGAACUUCCUCUUCCUCUCAUUCCCUACUGGUUGCUGGUUUGGUCACGAUUACAACUAAUAGGGGAAGAGAGAGAGGGUAGGGUGGUCACAUCUAAUUCGUGACUAGAUCUAGGAAAAAGGAGGGAGAGGAAGGUGGUUGUAGGAGAAAAAAUGGGAAUAGAUGGGAAUGGAAGGGGACGAGAAGGAUGGAGAGGGAAGGGACAGGGGAAAGGGACGAAGAGAGGAGAAAGAGGAAAAGGGUGGAGGCGUUAGAGGAAAAAGAAAUAGAGGGGAGCAGCAGUAGUAGGUGGUAGAAGGACGACAUCCUCC
rnacentral:lncRNA from 1 species